CUACGGGCGGCACCAGUGAGGAAUAUUGCACAAUGGGGGGAACCCUGAUGCAGCAACGCCGCGUGGAGGAUGACGCAUUUCGGUGUGUAAACUCCUUUUAUAUGUCAAGAAAAUGACGGUAGCAUAUGAAUAAGCACCGGCUAACUCCGUGCCAGCAGCCGCGGUAAUACGGAGGGUGCAAGCGUUACUCGGAAUCACUGGGCGUAAAGGACGCGUAGGCGGGUUGGAAAGUCAGGUGUGAAAUCCUACAGCUUAACUGUAGAACUGCACUUGAAACUUCUAAUCUAGAGUAUGGGAGGGAGAGAUGGAAAUAGUGGUGUAAGGGUAAAAUCCGUAGAUAACACUAGGAAUACCUAAAGCGAAGGCGAUCUCCUGGAACAUUACUGACGCUAAGGCGUGAAAGCGUGGGGAGCAAACAGGAUUAGAUACCCUAGUAGUC
rnacentral:rRNA from 1 species